AAGCGUGCGCAGGCGGUUUGUUAAGACAGAUGUGAAAUCCCCGGGCUUAACCUGGGAACUGCGUUUGUAACUGGCAAGCUAGAGUGUGGCAGAGGGGGGUAGAAUUCCAGGUGUAGCAGUGAAAUGCGUAGAUAUCUGGAGGAAUACCGAUGGCGAAGGCAGCCCCCUGGGUUAACACUGACGCUCAUGCACGAAAGCGUGGGGAGCAAACAGGAUUAGAUACCCUGGUAGUCCACGCCCUAAACUAUGUCAACUGGUUGUCGGGGGAGCAAUCCCUUGGUAACGAAGCUAACGCGUGAAGUUGACCGCCUGGGGAGUACGGCCACAAGGUUAAAACUCAAAGGAAUUGACGGGGACCCGCACAAGCGGUGGAUUAUGUGGAUUAAUUCGAUGCAACGCGAAAAACCUUACCUACCCUUGACAUGUACGGAAUCUCGCAGAGAUGUGAGAGUGCUCGAAAGAGAACCGUAACACAGGUGCUGCACGGCUGUCGUCAGCUCGUGUCGUGAGAUGUUGGGUUAAGUCCCGCAACGAGCGCAACCCUUGCCAUUAGUUGCUACAUUAAGUUGGGCACUCUAAUGGGACUGCCGGUGACAAACCGGAGGAAGGUGGGGAUGACGUCAAGUCCUCAUGGCCCUUAUGGGUAGGGCUUCACACGUAAUACAAUGGUAGGUACAGAGGGCAGCCAACCCGCGAGGGGGAGCUAAUCCCAGAAAGCCUAUCGUAGUCCGGACUGUAGUCUGCAACUCGACUACAUGAAGCCGGAAUCGCUAGUAAUCGCGGAUCAGCAUGUCGCGGUGAAUACGUUCCCGGG
rnacentral:rRNA from 1 species